rnacentral:rRNA from 1 species
AAGCGCGCGUAGGUGGUUUGUUAAGUUGGAUGUGAAAUCCCCGGGCUCAACCUGGGAACUGCAUUCAAAACUGACUGACUAGAGUAUGGUAGAGGGUGGUGGAAUUUCCUGUGUAGCGGUGAAAUGCGUAGAUAUAGGAAGGAACACCAGUGGCGAAGGCGACCACCUGGACUAAUACUGACACUGAGGUGCGAAAGCGUGGGGAGCAAACAGGAUUAGAUACCCCUUGU